rnacentral:lncRNA from 1 species
CCAACAAUGAAUUUAAACAAAGCAUAAAUACGUCUUUUAAGCAAAGAUUGAAACUUUAUCCAGAAUAAUCAAAGAAUAAAGCCAAAAAAAUAUGUUCAAUUAUUGCUAGCUCAUUUUUAUACCAUGAACAUGAAAAUAGCCAUAAUAUCGAUAUCACAACGUCCUAUGGACUUCAAGGCCGUCUAUAGCAAACAAAAUUACAACUACGAACUACUAACAA